GGAAUUUUGCGCAAUGGGCGAAAGCCUGACGCAGCAACGCCGCGUGAUCGCAGACGGCCUUCGGGUUGUAAAGAUCUGUCAGCAGGGACGAACAAUGACUGUACCUGCAGAGGAAGCACCGGCUAACUCCGUGCCAGCAGCCGCGGUAAUACGGGGGGUGCGAGCGUUGUCCGGAAUCAUUGGGCGUAAAGAGUUCGUAGGUGGUUUGUUAAGUUUGGUGUUAAAGGCGCAGGCUUAACCUGUGUAUGGCAUCGGAUACUGGCAGACUGGAAUGCGGUAGAGGUAAAGGGAAUUUCUGGUGUAGCGGUGAAAUGCUUAGAUAUCAGGAAGAACAUCGGUGGCGUAAGCGCUUUACUGGGCCGUAAUUGACACUGAGGAACGAAAGCCGGGGUAGCAAAUG
rnacentral:rRNA from 1 species